rnacentral:rRNA from 1 species
UUGGGCGUAAGGGCUCGCAGGCGGUUUUCUUAAGUCUGAUGUGAAAGCCCCCGGCUCAACCGGGGAGGGUCAUUGGAAACUGGGAAACUUGAGUGCAGAAGAGGAGAGUGGAAUUCCACGUGUAGCGGUGAAAUGCGUAGAGAUGUGGAGGAACACCAGUGGCGAAGGCGACUCUCUGGUCUGUAACUGACGCUGAGGAGCGAAAGCGUGGGGAGCGAACAGGAUUAGAUACCCUGGUAGUCCACGCCGUAAACGAUGAGUGCUAAGUGUUAGGGGGUUUCCGCCCCUUAGUGCUGCAGCUAACGCAUUAAGCACUCCGCCUGGGGAGUACGGUCGCAAGACUGAAACUCAAAGGAAUUGACGGGGGCCCGCACAAGCGGUGGAGCAUGUGGUUUAAUUCGAAGCAACGCGAAGAACCUUACCAGGUCUUGACAUCCUCUGACGACCCUAGAGAUAGGGCUUUCCCUUCGGGGACAGAGUGACAGGUGGUGCAUGGUUGUCGUCAGCUCGUGUCGUGAGAUGUUGGGUUAAGUCCCGCAACGAGCGCAACCCUUGAUCUUAGUUGCCAGCAUUCAGUUGGGCACUCUAAGGUGACUGCCGGUGACAAACCGGAGGAAGGUGGGGAUGACGUCAAAUCAUCAUGCCCCUUAUGACCUGGGCUACACACGUGCUACAAUGGACAGAAC